GGGGAAUCUGGAUCAGUGGC
rnacentral:miRNA from 1 species